UACGCAGGGGGCUAGCGUUGCUCGGAAUUACUGGGCGUAAAGGGCGCGUAGGCGGGUCGUUUAGUUAGAGGUGAAAGCCCAGGGCUCAACCCUGGAAUUGCCUUUAAUACUGGCGGCCUUGAGUAUGGCAGAGGUGUGUGGAACUCCGAGUGUAGAGGUGAAAUUCGUAGAUAUUCGGAAGAACACCAGUGGCGAAGGCGACACACUGGGCCAUUACUGACGCUGAGGCGCGAAAGCGUGGGGAGCAAACAGG
rnacentral:rRNA from 1 species